CACCAGUUCACCAUCUUCAUGUAGUCAGUGAUGAUUAAGAAUUUCUUGUUACAAUUACAUUAACUCUUAGUUUCAGAAAAAACUUGCUAUUUGGACAUUUGUGCUGCCACUAAAGCUCUCAGAUUUCACUCAAGGGGAACCCCAAGGCUGUAGAACAAAGAUUAUCCUAAAUCCAAAGUAAGACCAAAGAGACUAUUUGGAAGAAAGGCAAAUCAAAGAAAUUGUGAAGAAGCAUUCUCAAUUCAUCAGCUGUCCAAUUACACUCUUUCAUUCUUUCAUGGAGAAGAAGCUGGGAUUCAGAUCUCUCAUGUUUUUUCACAAGAAAUAAAUCUUUUGAUCUGACACAGCAGGAUAGUCACAUUAAACUGCCUAAGCAGAAUGUUCAUCAUGGAUAGCUGUGAAGCCUUUAUCUAUGAUUAUCUGAAAGUGCUCCAUCAUUUUAGUACGUUUUUUUUUUUUUUUCCUGUAGCAGUAUAUCCCUAAUAAAAUGAAAGUACUGCCUGAAAUAUAAAAGAAAAAAAAAAACCAAACACCUAUCAUCCGUGCACUAAGUAAUCUACCCAGAGCAUAUGGACAGAUUUAAACCAAUUUCUUGCCUUUUCUUUACAAGUAUAGAUUGCCAAAGUAAAGACUAUAUCCUAGGUUUGAAAUACUAGAAAUAAUCAAUUUCACGGCCAUGUAUGGUAAAUGCUAAUAAUCUCACGUUCUGAAAAAUGUGGAAUCUGAACCUGCAGAUUUUUUGAAUUCCUGUGACUUCUGAGAUUUUUGUUAAAUCAUGCUUCCUGAUGAAAUGUGAAACUUUAAGGCAUGUAGCAGACUCACAGUAUACUCCAGUGUGUUUUGAAUUCUGAAUAGCCGACUUUAAAUAUUUCUUUACAGAUACUGCAGCAGAGCAGAAUUAUGAAGGUGACAAGUGGAUUAAUAACAUUCUUCAAAGUUUCCUUGACUAUCACAAGGAAAGAAGAUAUAAGUUUUGUAAGAAAUUUUCCAGAACAUGAGGUGUUCUACCUGGACACCUCUUUCAAGGAGGGCCUGACCAUACUGUCAGGGUUCAAAAGAGCAGACUGCUCCAUCAGCGAGGAUGAGCCAGGAGCCAAGGGUAAAAUCAAGGCAGGCCCAAGCAGGGAGCAUACUGACAAGGGUCAUAAGCCACAGUACCUGAACAAGAAGAGAACUGGUCCAGUGAUGUUGCACCCAAUAGGUCAAUGAUCACCACAUGCAUCUGUAAUAAUGAGGUAUGUCUAAGGACAAGCCAAGAAGUCAGGUCAGCAAGACAAGGCUGGAAUCAGCAAAGUACAAGGCUGAACCCAGGCACAGCUCAGGCAAAGAUCAAAGCCAAGGCCCAGGCUUCAGUGCAGCUCCUAAGCUAAGAUGGCAAACUCCUGGUCAAGGCUUCCUACAGCUUCUUCUCACGCUGCUCCAUUCAUACUGGUCAGAUCCAACGUAACUUUGUGAUAUCAGAGCGAGAUUCAAGCUGUAAUUCAAACUCAGUCAUUAACUACAAGUCUUCACUGCAAAUUCUUUUUAGGACCAGGUUCAACAAAUUUUUACACCAAUUUAAGUAGAAGUUCUGCAAGAUUCUUUAGUUCUUCCCAUUUCUGUGCCCUCUCAAAAGUGAGAUGGUUGAGGUUAUUGCAUGCUCAGUAUCCCCAAUAAAAAUGUGUAACUGAUUUUUUUUAACAUAGAUUACCCUGAUUCCAGCCAUUGCUGCUUUGUAAACCUACUUUCUCAACCCUUUAUAAACAGCUAAAAUUCCAUUCAGAACUAAAUCUGAAAGUGUAAGAUCUCUACACCAGAUUGCUCUCACUCUUUCCCUAAAUCCUCUGAUUUUUAAGGUAAACUUUUCUUUGAAGGUUUUUUGUCUCUAAUAAUUGUACUUAUUAAGAAGCAGCUGAUUCAGAAGUGUUCCUGAAGUAUGUGAAGGCCAUUCAAUUAUUUUUUUCUUCUUGCUUUUGUUGAAGGCACUAGAACAAUUUGAUCCAAAUAUGUCUUCUUUAUAUAAAAUAGUAUCUUAUUUGUAUAAAAUAGUAUCUUCUUUGUAUAAAAUAGUAUCUUCUUUGUAUAAAAUCUUCUUUAUGCAAAAAUGUGAUCUUUCAAGUACAGGUGACUGUAUGAACUAUUUCUCUCUGCAUCUGCUUACCUGCUUAGAAUCCAGAACUGGAA